UACAGAGGUCCCAAGCGUUGUUCGGAUUCACUGGGCGUAAAGGGUGCGUAGGUGGUGAGGUAAGUUUGAUGUGAAAUCUCUGGGCUCAACCCAGAAAUGGCAUUGAAUACUAUCUUGCUAGAGGAGUGGAGGGGGGACUGGAAUACUUGGUGUAGCAGUGAAAUGCGUAGAUAUCAAGUGGAACACCAGUGGCGAAAGCGGCACCCUGGCAUUAGCCUGACGCUCAGGUGCGAAAGCCAGGGGAGCAAACGGG
rnacentral:rRNA from 1 species